rnacentral:lncRNA from 1 species
AAACAUUUUCCAAAGGCAGAAGGCAUCUAGUUUUGGUUGGAAGACUAGUCACACACACAUCAUGUGAUACUUGGAGCAGAUGCUGGGAGAUGAGAUUGGGAAGGGAGCCUAUGGUCGAGUUUUCAAAGGUUUGGACCUAGAGAAUGGAGACUUCGUUGCAAUUAAACAAGUUUCUUUGGAGAAUAUUGCUCAGGAGGAUCUCAACGUCAUCAUGGUACAAAAUUAACAAAACUCAUCUUAGCACCAUUCUUUUGUUUUGUAGCUAAAAAAAUAUAAAUUGGAAACAUUAGAGACUUAUGUCCAAUUGUGUCUUUGAUAAUCCUAUUAUAUUUAUUACUAACUUGGGUGCUGUUUUACCUGUGACUAUUCCACCAUUUGAUGGAUGCGUCAAUGUUUCAGCAAGAGAUUGAUUUGUUAAAGGUAUUUCUAUAUCUCAAUGUUGUAUCUGCACCACAUUAUCUAUUGAAAUUUUACUUUGCUUAUUAGCUUAAUGGUACUAUCUGCUCCAGUUCCCCAUGUAUAUGUUUCGCAUGAAAAGAUAUAGAAUGAUACAGUUGUUCUUGUAUUAAAUUACUUGUAAACUGGCAGGUUCCAAUUAGACCAAAUGGAAUAUAUGCUAUUUGCCAGAAAUAGGAAAUUAGUUAAUGGUAUACAUUUUUUUAUAAAUGAUGUACAUGUUUUAUUUCUUAGGAAGCAGCGGUACACUAAUAAGUAAUAAUGCAUUAAUGCCAUCCAUUUACAGUGUCUGUGAUUCAGAGAAUUAAAGUGGUUUUUUAUGUGGUAUCCAUGUGGGUGAGCACAUGGUUUUAGUGUAGAAGAGUUCCUCUUUCAUAUUAUCAGAGGAUUGAAGAGCUCUCCUAUGCUGGCGUACUAUUUUCAAAUUCUUUUCUGUUGUCCCCAUCUUUUUGGUUUCACAGAGAACCUCUUGUUCUCUUACCACUUUUCUACAUUCUCUAGAUGAAUUCUGUUCUCAAAUUUUCACUCUAAAAAUAUAUAUACCAGUGUUUAUGUUCUCUGAUGCUAUAAUAAUUAGUUUAUUGGCUUAAUCUCGGGUUCUUAUAUUGUGCACAUGUUUGUUAAAUGAUUACUAUUUUACAGAAUUUGAAUCACAAAAACAUUGUAAAGUAUCUUGGAUACUCAAAGACAGAGAGUCAUCUGCACAUAAUUUUGGAGUAAGUGAUCUCAAUUUAAGAAGAUUUAAUCAUUCGAAGGAAAUUUAGUGGAGUUAAUGGAUUUGCUACUUGUUUGUAACUUCUAGGUAUGUCGAGAAUGGCUCGNNNNNNNNNNNNNNNNNNNNNNNNNNNNNNNNNNNNNNNNNNNNNNNNNNNNNNNNNNNNNNNNNNNNNNNNNNNNNNNNNNNNNNNNNNNNNNNNNNNNCUUGGUUUAUCUACAUGAACAGGGUGUUAUCCAUCGGGAUAUUAAGGGUGCUAACAUAUUGACAACUAAAAAGGCAAGCCUGCUCCUAUUUUUUUGUUCUUAGUUAUACACUAGGGUUUUGUGUUUUGGCAAUUCUUCUGUACAAGGGUGCUAACAUAUUGCAUCAAAAUGUUAUAUAAACCACCUGUACACGGGUCAGUUUUCUUAUCAUAUAAUCACUCCUUUUACUUGGACUUGAUCGAUUGCAGCAGGAUAUGAUGGCUGUUCUGAGUACAUGUUAAGCACCGGAUAAUUAUAUUUUGCAUCUUUCUAUGAAAAAAGUAUGAUGUAUGUCAUCAUUGUUUUUAAUCUUGUCAUACUUUUCCAUGGUAUACUUCAUAUGAUGGAAUUGUAGUCUCACCGNNNNNNNNNNNNNNNNNNNNNNNNNNNNNNNNNNNNNNNNNNNNNNNNNNNNNNNNNNNNNNNNNNNNNNNNNNNNNNNNNNNNNNNNNNNNNNNNNNNNUUAACAAAUCAAUCUCUUGCUGAAACAUUGACGCAUCCAUCAAAUGGUGGAAUAGUCACAGGUAAAACAGCACCCAAGUUAGUAAUAAAUAUAAUAGGAUUAUCAAAGACACAAUUGGACAUAAGUCUCUAAUGUUUCCAAUUUAUAUUUUUUUAGCUACAAAACAAAAGAAUGGUGCUAAGAUGAGUUUUGUUAAUUUUGUACCAUGAUGACGUUGAGAUCCUCCUGAGCAAUAUUCUCCAAAGAAACUUGUUUAAUUGCAACGAAGUCUCCAUUCUCUAGGUCCAAACCUUUGAAAACUCGACCAUAGGCUCCCUUCCCAAUCUCAUCUCCCAGCAUCUGCUCCAAGUAUCANNNNNNNNNNNNNNNNNNNNNNNNNNNNNNNNNNNNNNNNNNNNNNNNNNNNNNNNNNNNNNNNNNNNNNNNNNNNNNNNNNNNNNNNNNNNNNNNNNNNUGAUUCUGUUAGUUCUGAAAUCUGGGACUCCAUCUUGUACCCGAUGUGAUUCGUGAUGCUUUGAUCUCCGUUUUGAUAUUUCCUCCUCCUUGUGCUUGUGGAAGGAUUCUUCAACCAAAUUCUUUACAGACUCUCUUAAACUUCUUUCUAAAACCUUAAACUUCAACUCCAAUGUAUUUUCCAACUCACAUAUACGACUUUCCAGCAUUUCACAGAUAUACUUUUUCAACCUUUCUUCCAUCUCCCUUGUUGCUUGCAUGCCGUGAAUCUCUCAAUUCCCUGUUUUCAGGAAGGUAUGUUUUGCCCCUCCAGUUGCUACUUUCACACCGAGAGAAUCAAUAGAAUCUGAAAUCUAUAUUUUCUAUCUUAGCUGAAAAUACAGAAUCUGUUAGUAACUAAUAGCAACUACUAGUCUACUAUUACUAACAGAAUCAGAACUGUUAGUUACUAUCUUCGUUCCUAACUAAGUGUGUUUUAAAAAAACAAUAGAUGAUGGGUAAAACUCAAGUGCUUCACUUCUUAAAAUAAUUUUAUUUUCAGGUGAUGAUAUACAAACUAAUUACCUAUGAAAUAUAGUAAAUGUAUUUAAAAAGUAGAAGCAGUAUAUUUUUUAAUGUAUUAUGAGCUGAUACAAGAGUAAAUGUAUUCUUAANNNNNNNNNNNNNNNNNNNNNNNNNNNNNNNNNNNNNNNNNNNNNNNNNNNNNNNNNNNNNNNNNNNNNNNNNNNNNNNNNNNNNNNNNNNNNNNNNNNNAUAUAUAUAGCAAUUUAAUGUAUGUAUAGUAAAAGAAAAAUGUGAUACAAGAGAUAUGUGUAGCCCUUGCCACUCAAAUAGAUUGCAAAAAAGGCAUUUUAGCCACCAUGUCAUUGAUUGAAGCCAGAAAAUCAGCUACAACCAAACAAUAAAUAAACUAAGGAACCCAAAUAAGAGGGAAAACUUAUAUAUACAUACAACCAUAAAUAUUUCUUCUAAAUGAAAAUGAGUAUUAAAAUCUAAUUUCACAAAACUGUGUUGAUAUGUAGAGCUUUAAGUAAUGAAGUUGCCAUCUGUUUGACUAAUACUUGUCCAUCUUUCCUUUCCCCUAUUAAGUUUUGAAGUUUCUCAGGUAACUCAUUCUCUACUAUCAACUUCUUUGGUUGUGGGUGGUGCUCAUAAACAGCCUGAUAUAACUUUUUUAACAGAUCCAUAACUAUUUCUAAGAGAUCCAAUAUAUGUAUCAUAAAUGCCAUGUAUGCAUACCUUGAUGAGCCUGAGUAAAUUGAGACGAGCUAUAGCAUCCUGAUGAUCAAGCCUUGCGAUAAGCAAUGGCGUUAACCCAUUAACAGCUAAUGUCGUAUUGAUUCGUGCAGAUUUUCUGCAAUAUAGGUGAUAUAAUGAUAUUGGUUAAAUAGAAAAUCAGAAGAAUGAUAGCAUUUGGAGACAAGUACAGUUAUAACAUGGCAUGGUAUUAUAUAAAAAUGGGUACGUGAUGAUUUUCAAGAAUGGCUCCAGUAUGUGUACAAAAUGCUGCUCUGGACAGCACUGGAAGAACAUCACAAGCUUCUGAACUGCAUCCUUUUUCAGCAAUGCUUGUUCAACUUUCUUGUUGUCAUUGUCAUGGGCUAAGCAAAUAGCAAUGGAAUCUAGUGCAGUCACAGACCAAAUCUGAUCUUCAAGGAGGUUCAAAUAGACAUCCAAACCACCAUGAGCCCUUAACUGCUCCCUUGAAUUGCGAGAUGCAUGAGCCAUGUCACACAGCAGAGGCAAUGCAUAUUGUCUCAGAGGAGAGUUUGAUGUGAUGAAUUGCAACAAAUGGGGAAUGAUCCCAUUUUCAGCUGCUUGUUCUUGUCUCCUCUUAUUUAUCUUGCAUAAAUUGAACAGCGCGUUCAAGACCUAUAUAAGAAAUGAAAAUAUGAGAUUUAAGCCAACUUUAGAUAUCUAUAAAAUCACACACCUCUAUAAAAUAAAAGGCAGCAGUGAAAUGACAUGGAAAAAGUAGGUCUGAAAAGCUCACAAUAUAUUUUUCGGAUAGUAUAAGAACUUUGUAUUUACUACAUACCACUGCUAAAUUUAUUUGAAAUUAACACUAAAGAAUAGAGAGAGCAUUGUAUAAAAAGUUGAUGAGAAACAUUAGUAAAACUAACUACCAAUCAAUCACACAUGUUGAGAACAAGUUUUAAUACAUAUUUAGUAGAACAGUGGAUAGAAUAUUUGCUUAAAAAAUAAACAUGAGAUCAGCAAGACUCACCUCAUGACGUAUCUCUGAUACUAGAGACCCUUCUUUGAGUUCAAGAUUCGGAAUCAAAUAUUUUAUUGCUUCAGCACGUUGAAGAUUUUCUAAGCAAUUUGGAUCAGUUGACAAAUGAUUAAUGCACUUCAGUAUCUAGAAAACAAGGUGCCAAUACAUAAACAGUCAGAAACUAAAGUUGUAGGAUAUGAGAUGAACUAUUAAAGGGAAGGUUGUGUUACACCUUCAACAGAAUAGGAGGCUCCACCCUAUUAAACAUCUGGAAAAGACGACUAAGCAAGCUUUGGCUACACAUGUAAGACUUCACUGUAGUGUCUGCUUGUGCAAACUCGAGCAGAAGAUCUGCCACCUUUUCUAGGUAUUCCCUGGCAACAUCUGUAUUCAAUGGUGAAACCAUGUGGGAAAGUAUCCCAGAUGAAGUAGAACUACCUGGCAUAGCAUUUAGAACACCAGAACCGGACAGUACACAUGAUGCUGUCUGAGAUACAAUCCCAGGUGUGGAAGCAGCUCCUUCAGUCCCUAAUUUCUUGGGAGCAACUUUGCGAGACACUCUAGCACCGGAGUCCAGAUUUCCAUUUUCUCUUGCAUGUUGAGAAACAUCUGCACCUUAACCACACAACCAGUAUGCCAUUCACACAAAUGCAAUUCACAGUCAAAUUACAAUAUAAGAGAAAAGUUACUGUUAAAUAGAUCAGAAACCUUAGAAUCAUUUGAAGUUUUCAUAGCAAUGUUGAUGGCAGGAUAUAUUGUUGAACACUAUUUCAUGAAUCACCAUGCUUUUAGAUAUUCAAUAUGAAUAUGAAUGAAAGACUUUUUAAGUUUUAAAUACCAACAAUAUCAUACCAGAACUUAUGUACAGACAAAAACUAAGAAAAUAUUCAAGGUAGACUCUUAGCAUAAUUAUUCCAAUUCUUGCAAUAACAAAACCUAGAAGCAACCGAGCAUUGUUGUUAAACUAGAAGUUUUGAAGCCAGCAAUUCUUUGUGAAGUGUACUUGAAAUAACCUAUUCUUUAAAAUACAAUUAUUAUGAGAAAUGAGUAUUCCCAGAAAGGUUAAACAAGGGAACUUUUGAUGACAGAUUUAAGUGUGGAAAGUUUAUUGUAAAUUUUAAUGAUUGCUUAGAUUAUUUGUAAUUUUCUGUUACUUAUCUCUGUUAAAAUAUCUUCAACAAAAGAAGCAGACAGAUCCUGUCUACCUGCAAAUUCUGCCAUCAAAAAGUCUAGUUCACCAUUUGUUUUCUUUUCUGAGGCAUGUAACAAAGGGAGUACACUUUCAUGUCUUUCUAAUCCCGAAAACUGACGUACAUACUCAAGCUGGCCAGAUAAACAUCCAGAUGGUGGCUCUUUGUCCAACAAGCUAAGAAGAGGCCUAACUUGCUCUUGUCGUGUAGUUCCUGUAACUGAUAACCCAUUUGAUGUGGGUUCUGUCAAUUUCAGACGCCUAUCUGGUGACGUCCUGCUAGAAGAAAUACUAACACGCUGCUGUCUGGGUUCAAAAUAUGCCCGAGAAGGAUCAAUUUUCCAACGAUCCACAUUCUCUCUCUCUUUUAACGCACCUACUGAAGAUUCUCUGAAAGCUAGAUUUGAAAUCUUCUCCAGUGGCACAACUUCAGCUGCUGCAUUGCUAGAUCGAGGCCUGUCAAUAUCAAUGGGGUGAUUAGCAUCUGAUCUAUGAGGGUUGGAAGUUGGAGCAUGUGAAGGUUCUAAGUGAUGAUCAAGUACUCCACGCUUCACUUUAUGUAGAUCAUGCUGAUCUACUGAAGAGAACAGUGCCUCAUUCUGAACAAUAGAAGGAUGUGUAGAAUCUAAGAUAGCAGAAUGUGCCCGUUGAGCUGAACCAUCAAUCAAAAAUCCACCUCCAACAGACAUAGAAGCGAGUCGGGUUGCCUCAUUUAGGCUGUAAAGAGUAUUUAUAAGCCUAAGGAGUACUCCAUUCUUUGCAGCUAUCCGACAAAAAUCAUUUCUGGGUGUUGACUGCUGAAGCUUAAAUACUUGCCACAUGCCAUCAAUAGCCAGAUGAACCAUUUCCCUGAGACAAGUUUUGUGGGCAGAUUUUAUUAUACAAUUUUUUUAAUACAAAGCACAAGUUGAUGCACUUGCAGGGUAGAAGAAGCAAAUGGAAAGAGCAGAAAAGUCUGUUUUUUGUUUGUAUGAUAAAGGAACUACAACAUAUAGUAAGCAAUCAAUCAUAGAGAAGUAUAGCAUAUCGAAAACCUUGCUGAAAAUCAUAAGGCACCAAAUCAAAAUCUACAAGUUAGGCAGUUUCAAGAAUGAAGAACAAAACCAACCCAGAAAAUGUCCAUAGUUCCAUAUAAGUGAAAUUUACAAACAACAACUGACCUGUACUUGGCAUAAUCAGCCUCAAGAAAUCCCACCAAAACAGGUAUUCCACGGCAAGCUAUAAACAUUUGUAAUGUCAAGGAACUACACCAAGCGUUAACAAUCAAUACCAAGCUUCAUUUUCAAGACAAAAGAAUCCAUGUAAUAAUGACAAAUAAAAUACACUCCAGACCUAGACUGACAAAGUUGCUGCAAAAAAUAAGCUGCUUCCAUACGAAUCUCUCGGGGACGAUCAGGUACUGCAAAGCUCAUGAUUGCAGGAAUCUGCCAUGAAAUAUUCCAAUACAUAUAGCUCAAACAGGAUAUUUGAGGACAUCCAUUAAUAUAACCAAGCAUUCCUUUAAAAAAAAGUGAUACAACGAAGCAUAAGGACAGCCAAUGUUUGAGGUAAUUGUCCCAGUAAUAUUAUACUAGUAUUCAUAAUCCUGAGUGUAGAGUAUUAUAAAUAUUAUUUAUUCUAAAAUGAUUAUUCUUGGAUUACUAGUUAGUUAGUGAUUGGUACAUUAAGUGACAACUGUCACAGUUGACAGUAGUCAUACAGUUAUGACAAAUGUAUCAGGCAGUUACAGAAUUGAGCUCAGUUAGUUAUAGUUUCCAUUUUAGUUUCAUCACAGAUUCUCUUUCUCCCUCUCUCUUUGUUCCUUCACCUUCCAUUCCAGUACACUAUCAUUUUCCAAGUGUUCACAAUAUGAUACUGAGUCCCUGGCUUUAAGCUUGAGUUUAGUGUAGAAGAGUUCCUCUUUCAUAUUAUCAGAGGAUUGAAGAGCUCUCCUGUGCUGAUGUACUAUUUUCAAAUUCUUUUCUGUUGUCCCCAUCUUUUUGGUUUCACAGAGAACCUCUUGUUCUCUUACCACUUUUCUACAUUCUCUAGAUGAAUUCUCUUCUCAAAUUUUCACUCUAAAAAUAUAUAUACCAGUGUUUAUGUUCUCUGAUGCUAUAAUAAUUACUUUAUUGGCUUAAUCUCGGGUUCUUAUAUUGUGCACAUGUUUGUUAAAUGAUUACUAUUUUACAGAAUUUGAAUCACAAAAACAUUGUAAAGUAUCUUGGAUCCUUAAAGACAAAGAGUCAUCUGCACAUAAUUUUGGAGUAAGUGAUCUCAAUUUAAGAAGAUUCAAUCAUAGUAUCAUUUGAAGAAAAUUUAGUGGAGUUAAUGGAUUUGCUACAUGUUUGUAACUUCUAGGUAUGUUGAGAAUGGCUCGCUUGCAAAUAUUAUCAAGCCCAAUAAAUUUGGACCAUUUCCAGAAUCAUUGGUUGCAGUUUAUAUUGGCCAGGUUUGUAGGUGUAAGACAAUUCAUUGAGGUUUUAAAAGGUUUUGGUUUAUUUUUUGGAUUUUAUACUAAAUGCAUUAUAUGAUGAGAUAGGUGUUGGAAGGCUUGGUUUAUCUACAUGAACAGGGUGUUAUCCAUCGGGAUAUUAAGGGUGCUAACAUAUUGACAACUAAAGAGGCAAGCCUACUCCUAUUUUUUUGUUCUUAGUUAUACACUAGGGUUGUCAGUUUUCUUAUCAUAUAAUCCCUCCUUUUACUUGGACUUGAUCGAUUGCAUCAUGAUAUAGAUGGCUUUUCUGAGUACAUGAUGAGCACCGGAUAAUUAUAUUUUGCAUCUUUCUAUGAAAAAAGUAUGAUGUAUGUCAUCAUUGUUUUUAAUCUUGUCAUACUUUUCCAUGGUAUACUUCAUAUGAUGGAAUUGUAGUCUCACCGAGUCUCCUUUCAUGUCGCCUCGAUCCCAUCAUAAUUUUCCAUGCUCGAGUCUAUGUUUUCUUCUUUGGGUUAGAUCUAGAAAUUUUGUAUUAAUUCUCACUAAUUACAUAAAUUCUGCUUUCAGGGUCUAGUCAAACUUGCUGAUUUUGGUGUUGCAACAAAGUUAACAGAGGCUGAUGUUAAUACUCAUUCAGUUGUUGGAACACCAUAUUGGAUGGCCCCAGAGGUAUUAAUUGUAUGAUUUUCUUCUGCUAAAUUUGCUUAGAGCUUUUGAUCCUUGCUUCGUUUAAAUCAUUUACUAACAGUAACACUGGAGUGGUAUGCAAAAUAUAAUUUUUCGGUACUCAACAUGUACUGUAUCCCCUCUCAUUUUUAUUAUAUUUUUUUCUUAAUCAGAAAAGGUAGUUCAUUUGCUAUGCUUAGCACCUUGCUGACUGCAAGCCUAAUAAUUUGGAUUGUGGGUUAUAGAAAUGGUCUCUAAUUUGAUGUUUUCAAGGAUGAUCACAGACAACUGUGCUUUAAUUUUCCAGGUUAUAGAAAUGUCUGGUGUGUGUGCUGCUUCUGACAUUUGGAGUGUUGGCUGUACGGUUAUUGAACUUCUUACAUGUGUGCCUCCUUACUAUGAUUUGCAGCAUAUGCCAGCUCUUUUCCGUAUUGUCCAGGUUUGCUUAUGUUAAUAAUUUAUUGUUUCUUCAAUCAUGGGUCCUAGUAUCUGGGUUUCUUAUAGCAAUUGGCUAGAUGAUGAUAUUGGUAGCUACACUUGAUUGUAAUUUGUAUAGCAGUAAGUUGAUAUCCCACAAAAUGGAGCAUUUUCAGUAAUUCCGUGUUCUUGAAAUGCUCUAUAGCGCUAUUAUAAUAUAAUUUAUAUUUUAUAGUGUAAAGAAACUUUGUACUUAUUCUUUGACUUUUCUCCCAGGAUGAGCAUCCUCCAAUUCCUGAUAGCUUGUCACCUGACAUCACUGAUUUUCUGCACCAUUGCUUUCAAAAGGUAAACUGGAUUAGUAAUAGUGUAGGAAUAUUAUGACUUGUCUUACAAAUGGAGAUCACCUUUUGUAUAUCUGCUUUUAAGUUGAUGAAUGCUACUGCAUUAUUUGUAUAUUUGUUCCGAAGCUUACACUAGAGUGAUGUCGUCAUUGUUGUGUAUGUAGUUUUCUAACUCUACAUUGUAUUUGUAGGAUAGGAAAAAUGAAUAUCAGUUUUGAUCCAUACAUUUAAUAAUUUCAUAUCAAACUGGUGAAUAAGCUUUACAUAAUGUUUUGUUGCAUAUAUCAGGAUGCUAGACAAAGACGACCUGAUGCUAAAACACUAGUGUCGCACCCCUGGAUCCAAAACUGUAGACGUGUUCUGCAGUCUUCUCUUCGUCACAGUGGAACAUUAAAGUAAAUAGCAUGAGAUAUUAUUGCUCUGUUAUAAUAUGUUAGUUCUUUUGGUUGAAUCACAAACAUUAUGUAUACUGACAUCACAAACAUCCCCUGACAUCACAAACACACCAGAAUAAAACCAUGUUGUGACUAAUUGUCAAUUGAAUCAAUAUAGGUAGUAUCACUCACUAUCAAUACAACUGAAGUACAACCAAAAGAACUAACAUAUUAUAACAGAGCAAUAAUAUCUCAUGCUAUUUACUUUAAUGUUCCACUGUGACGAAGAGAAGACUGCAGAACACGUCUACAGUUUUGGAUCCAGG